rnacentral:rRNA from 1 species
UACGAAGGGGGCUAGCGUUGCUCGGAAUUACUGGGCGUAAAGGGCGCGUAGGCAGACAUUUAAGUUAGAGGUGAAAGCCCAGGGCUCAACCCUGGAAUAGCCUUUAAUACUGGAUGUCUUGAGUUCGGGAGAGGUGAGUGGAAUGCCGAGUGUAGAGGUGAAAUUCGUAGAUAUUCGGCGGAACACCAGUGGCGAAGGCGACUCACUGGCCCGAUACUGACGCUGAGGCGCGAAAGCUAGGGGAGCAAACAGG